AGUCCUGCAGGGCGGGGCAAACUUGGAGAGGCGCUGCGUCGGGGGACGGGGCUACAAGCCGUCGCUGGGGGCGGGGCUUGCGGCCCACCUGUAGGUCCCGGUGCCACCUCGUCAGUGUCCCGAGAGAUCCCCAGAAGAACGAGAGGGCUGAACAGGGGACCCCACUGACGUCCGGUGGGCCGACUUUACGAUCCUUUAGGGUAAAAAUUUCAUCUAGGAAGACCUAGAGAUAACAAUAAACGAUUAUAGUUUAACUUAGGAUGGUAAUAUAUCUCAACUACGAC
rnacentral:lncRNA from 1 species